GCCAGGUGUGGUGGUGCAUGCCUGUAAUCCCAGCUACUCAGGAGGCUGAGGCAAAAGAAUCACUUGAACCCAGGAGGCUGAGGUUGCAGUGAGCAGAGAUCGCGCCACUGCACUCCAGCCUGGGCAAUAGUGUGAGAAUCUGUCUCAA
rnacentral:SRP_RNA from 1 species